GGUAGUCCACGCCGUAAACGAUGAGUGCUAAGUGUUGGAGGGUUUCCGCCCUUCAGUGCUGCAGUUAACGCAUUAAGCACUCCGCCUGGGGAGUACGGCCGCAAGGCUGAAACUCAAAGGAAUUGACGGGGGCCCGCACAAGCGGUGGAGCAUGUGGUUUAAUUCGAAGCAACGCGAAGAACCUUACCAGGUCUUGACAUCCUUUGACCACUCUAGAGAUAGAGCUUUCCCUUCGGGGACAAAGUGACAGGUGGUGCAUGGUUGUCGUCAGCUCGUGUCGUGAGAUGUUGGGUUAAGUCCCGCAACGAGCGCAACCCUUAUUGUUAGUUGCCAUCAUUCAGUUGGGCACUCUAGCGAGACUGCCGGUGACAAACCGGAGGAAGGUGGGGAUGACGUCAAAUCAUCAUGCCCCUUAUGACCUGGGCUACACACGUGCUACAAUGGACGGUACAAUGAGUCGCGAGACCGCGAGGUUUAGCUAAUCUCUUAAAGCCGUUCUCAGUUCGGAUUGUAGGCUGCAACUCGCCUACAUGAAGCCGGAAUCGCUAGUAAUCGUGGUUCAGCACGCCACGGUGAAUACGUUCCCGGGCCUUGUACACACCGCCCGUCACACCCCGAGAGUUGUGUAACACACACAAAGUACGGUGAGAGGCUAACCUAUGAUCCAGCCGCCUACUAUGGAGAUAGACUGGUCUUAUAAACAA
rnacentral:rRNA from 1 species